rnacentral:rRNA from 1 species
UACGUAGGGGGCUAGCGUUGUCCGGAAUCAUUGGGCGUAAAGCGCGUGUAGGCGGCCCGGUAAGUCCGCUGUGAAAGUCGGGGGCUCAACCCUCGAAUGCCGGUGGAUACUGUCGGGCUAGAGUGCGGAAGAGGGGAGUGGAAUUCCUGGUGUAGCGGUGAAAUGCGCAGAUAUCAGGAGGAACACCGAUUGCGAAGGCAGCGCGCUGGGACGUAACUGACGCUGAGACGCGAAAGCGUGGGGAGCAAACAGG